rnacentral:piRNA from 1 species
UCCAGGAUGAAACCUGUCACACAGACAUCAC